GCUACACACGUGCUACAAUGGCGUAUACAAAGGGAAGCGAAGGUGCGAGCUGGAGCGGAUCUCAUAAAGUACGUCUAAGUUCGGAUUGGAGUCUGCAACUCGACUCCAUGAAGUCGGAAUCGCUAGUAAUCGUAGAUCAGAAUGCUACGGUGAAUGCGUUCCCGGGCCUUGUACACACCGCCCGUCACACCAUGGGAGUGGGUUGCAC
rnacentral:rRNA from 1 species